rnacentral:rRNA from 1 species
GAUGAACACUGGCGGCGUGCCUAAUACAUGCAAGUCGAGCGAACAGACGAGGAGCUUGCUCCUCUGACGUUAGCGGCGGACGGGUGAGUAACACGUGGAUAACCUACCUAUAAGACUGGGAUAACUUCGGGAAACCGGAGCUAAUACCGGAUAAUAUAUUGAACCGCAUGGUUCAAUAGUGAAAGACGGUUUUGCUGUCACUUAUAGAUGGAUCCGCGCCGCAUUAGCUAGUUGGUAAGGUAACGGCUUACCAAGGCGACGAUGCGUAGCCGACCUGAGAGGGUGAUCGGCCACACUGGAACUGAGACACGGUCCAGACUCCUACGGGAGGCAGCAGUAGGGAAUCUUCCGCAAUGGGCGAAAGCCUGACGGAGCAACGCCGCGUGAGUGAUGAAGGUCUUCGGAUCGUAAAACUCUGUUAUUAGGGAAGAACAAAUGUGUAAGUAACUAUGCACGUCUUGACGGUACCUAAUCAGAAAGCCACGGCUAACUACGU